rnacentral:rRNA from 1 species
GACGAACGCUGGCGGCGUGCUUAACACAUGCAAGUCGAACGGAAAGGCCCUGCUUUUGUGGGGUGCUCGAGUGGCGAACGGGUGAGUAACACGUGAGUAACCUGCCCUUGACUUUGGGAUAACUUCAGGAAACUGGGGCUAAUACCGGAUAGGAGCUCCUGCUGCAUGGUGGGGGUUGGAAAGUUUCGGCGGUUGGGGAUGGACUCGCGGCUUAUCAGCUUGUUGGUGGGGUAGUGGCUUACCAAGGCUGUGACGGGUAGCCGGCCUGAGAGGGUGAACGGCCACAUUGGGACUGAGAUACGGCCCAGACUGCUACGGGAGGCAGCAGUGGGGAAUAUUGCACAAUGGGCGGAAGCCUGAUGCAGCAACGCCGCGUGUGGGAUGACGGCCUUCGGGUUGUAAACCGCUUUCGCCUGUGACGAAGCGUGAGUGACGGUAAUGGGUAAAGAAGCACCGGCUAACUACGUG